CAGGACGAACGCUGGCGGCGUGCCUAAUACAUGCAAGUCGAACGGUCUUUCUAUGGAAGCUUGCUUCCACUGAGAAGAUAGUGGCGAACGGGUGAGUAACACGUGGGUAACCUGCCCAUAAGAGGGGGGAUAACAUCCGGAAACGGGUGCUAAUACCGCAUAGUUUUCUUGAUCGCAUGAUCGGGAAAGGAAAGACGGCCUUUGUGCUGUCGCUUAUGGAUGGACCCGCGGCGUAUUAGUUAGUUGGUGAGGUAACGGCUCACCAAGACGAUGAUACGUAGCCGACCUGAGAGGGUGAUCGGCCACAUUGGGACUGAGACACGGCCCAAACUCCUACGGGAGGCAGCAGUAGGGAAUCUUCCGCAAUGGACGAAAGUCUGACGGAGCAACGCCGCGUGAGUGAAGAAAGGUUUUCGGAUCGUAAAACUCUGUUGUCAGAGAAGAACAAGUUGGAGAGUAACUGCUCCAGCCUUGACGGUAUCUGACCAGAAAGCCACGGCUAACUACGUGCCAGCCGCAGC
rnacentral:rRNA from 1 species